GAUGAACGCUAGCGGGAGGCUUAAUACAUGCAAGUCGAGGGGUAACAGGGGCUUCGGCCCGCUGACGACCGGCGCACGGGUGAGUAACGCGUACGCAACUUACCUCCAAGCGAGGGAUAGCCCCUGGGAAACUGGGAUUAAUACCUCAUGUGAUUAUGAUGCCGCAUGGUGUUAUAAUUAAAGUUCAGGCGCUUGGAGAUGGGCGUGCGUCCUAUUAGCUAGUUGGUGAGGUAACGGCUCACCAAGGCGACGAUAGGUAGGGGGCUGAGAGCGUGGCCCCCCCANACGGGUACUGAGACACGGACCCGACUCCUACGGGAGGCAGCAGUAAGG
rnacentral:rRNA from 1 species